UUGUUUAAAGAGAUCGGCCCUGAUCCCAAAUUCUAAAUCUUGCUGGGUGCGUGGCGGUGGAUUUCCAAAUUCCUAACACCACUCACAAUCACUACAUCUUAAGUUAAGAGAAGAGGAAAGAAAAAGACAUUUGAAGUGUGUAGUAUAGUAUAGGGGUUUUAAACAAUAGAACCAAAACCCUAAUUUCACAACUUUCCCUAUGACGAAAGUUUACGGCACGGGGUUAUACGAUUUUUGGCGGCACCAGCAGAGUUGAAACCAACCUUUAUUUAAGUCUCACACCUUACUUGCUACCUUCUUUCUUUUUCACCGUCGCACCCAUUAUUCAUUGCAUCAUCGUUCACUCGCAUCAGAAUCACAGGUUCAGUUGCUGUGGAUUGUUGUAAAAAAUUUCCUUUAGGUUGAAACUUGGAGUGCCGGCUCAGGAUAUUAUGAUGAAUGGAAAUGGUACUCAGACUAAGUAUUGGGGCGAAAGUUCGGGUUCAACUUCCCAUAGCAGUCAGCAGGAUGUGGAGGAUGAUAGGAUGAUUGCUCUUGUGUUGUCAGAAGAGUAUGCCAAAUUAGAUGGAGCAGUUGGUUGGCGCCUUACCAACUUGGAACCUGUUCCUGUAUGACGAAUUUAAAGCAACCCAUGUUAGCCUUGGGCGACACACGUCCUAUGCUGGGAUCGGAUAAAUUAAAACUAGUGAUUUGUAUAUUGUGUUAAGGAGAGGUUCUCUGUGCUUCGAAGUGAGUGGAAAAAGUUCCAGUGAGGGGUGGAACUCCAAAUUUGAUUACAUCAGCAUGGGAAAUCAUGGUGAAACUCAGAACACAACACAAAAGGAUAUGAGUUCUAUAUAUCAGGAACAAAGACUUCAACCAUGUCAACUUAGCUCAUCAAUACAUUAUGGUGGCCAAGACAUAUAUUCUUGUCCUAAGAGUACACAAGAUUCAGGAUACAACUCUUUGUUGUACAAGAAAGAUGGGGUUGAAGAUGAUUUAGGAAGUAACCUGUGGCAAGGGGGUCCCUGUUAUUAAGAUCACACUUGCCAAAGGAUAUGCUCCUUAAGGUAUACAAGUUUCUUAUAGCCUUAGCCAAAUGGUACUCUAGAUAUCUGAUUAAUAUUCCUUCCCUUCAACUUUUACGUGCUAAUCUGUCCAAGAAAUUGUCUGUUCUUUCUCCGGAGGAGUUAAGAGAUUUUGUUUGCUGUAAGAUAAUCAAGUUCCUCCUCAAGAUCCUGGCCCCUAUCCUCAAGCACUAAUUAUUGAGACAUAUACUCCUCCAGAUCCUGGCCCCUAUCCUCAAGAUCAGCCUAAACAAAAUUCAGUUCGAUUUACACCCACCCAGGUUGAAGCAAUUAUCUCUGGCAUUCAGCCUGGUCUAAUUAUGGUUGUGGGGCCACCUGGUACAGGAAAGAUUGAUCAACAAAAUGUAAUUAGGAACUAGUUUUAUUAUUAUUAUAUGACAUUUACCUACAGAAGACCGUAGGUACAAGUAAAUUGACUUUUACCUACAGUUAGAGAUUAUAGGUAUAAAUUAAUAUCUUUUACCUACACAUUUGAAAUAGUGGGUGUUAUCUAUAGUGAUAGUUAAAUUUGACUGUAGGUAAAAAUAUAUCCGUAGGUAAAGCCUAUAGUGACAGACUAUUAGUUGUCACUGUAUACCCCCUCAAAGUUGACGCAAAAAACGUCUGUAGGACAAAGUCCUUUAUACAUCUACCUACGGAUUUUGGACUUCUAGUGAUAGAUUUUGACUGUAGGUAAAAGUUAUUUUCCUUGUAGUGAAGGAAAAUAGAAAUGACCGGAAUUAUAUAGAAAUAUUAAAUUUUCAUCGAUUGAAUGGGAGGAAAAAUAGUAAGGAGAAGUGUUAUUUUUUGUGAAA